rnacentral:rRNA from 1 species
UACAGAGGGGGCAAGCGUUAUUCGGAAUUACUGGGCGUAAAGCGCACGUAGGCGGAUUGUUAAGUCGGGGGUGAAAUCCUGGAGCUCAACUCCAGAACUGCCUUCGAUACUGGCGAUCUCGAGUUCGGGAGAGGUGAGUGGAACUGCGAGUGUAGAGGUGAAAUUCGUAGAUAUUCGCAAGAACACCAGUGGCGAAGGCGGCUCACUGGCCCGAUACUGACGCUGAGGUGCGAAAGCGUGGGGAGCAAACAGG